rnacentral:tRNA from 1 species
GGCCUCGUAGCUCAGUUGGCUAGAGAGUUGUCUGUACUAAAGCCUUUUUCUGACUGGCGUGUGUUCGAAUCCCACUGAGGCUG